rnacentral:hammerhead_ribozyme from 1 species
ACACUGCUGAGGAGUCCCACAAUAGGACGAAAUGGCCAUGCAGUGC